CCCUACGGGAGGCAGCAGUGGGGAAUAUUGGACAAUGGGGGGAACCCUGAUCCAGCGACGCCGCGUGAGUGAAGAAGUAUUUCGGUAUGUAAAGCUCUAUCAGCAGGGAAGAAAAUGACGGUACCUGACUAAGAAGCCCCGGCUAACUACGUGCCAGCAGCCGCGGUAAUACGUGGGGGGCAAGCGUUAUCCGGAUUUACUGGGUGUAAAGGGCGUGCAGCCGGGCUGACAAGUCAGAUGUGAAAUCCCGUGGCUCAACCACGGAACUGCAUUUGAAACUGUCGGUCUUGAGUAUCGGAGAGGCA
rnacentral:rRNA from 1 species